ensembl:snoRNA SNORA71 Small nucleolar RNA SNORA71
GCCUGUAUCGAAAGUGACUGUGGAUCGUUGUGGCCAGGUCAUUGAUAAUGCAGGCAGAACAACCAGAGAGCCUUUCCCUGUGUUUGAGGGAUGUUCAGUUCCUGUUGAACCCUGGCGCUCUCAGACA